GAAGACUGAGAAAAUAGGACUGCAAAUAAACUACAAGAGGAUAAUGUUCAACACACAAGUAAUCCUGCAACCAGUGAUGAUGGAAGGCCAGACAAUUGAAAGGAUGGAAGAAUACAAGUACUUAAUACAAGUAAUCACAACACAAGGAGACCAGAUGAGAGAAAUUCAACAUAGGACACAAUUGGGAUGGCAUACCUGCAGUCAUUAUAGCAACUUCCUAAGGGACAAUGGGAUAUCAGUAUGCCUCAUGCAUACUACCAAUAAUAUAACUGUGAAACCUGGAUCUCUACAAAGAUAAUGAAAC
rnacentral:lncRNA from 1 species